CAACGCAGCUUAUGUGGUCUCGUGUAUCAACCUAAUUAGGUUACUCUCGCGCCGCUCUCUCUCUCAGCCCCAAAACAUAUCGAGCUCGCGCCGCUCUCUCUCAGCCCAACCUCACCCAGCCUCGCACCGCCACCGACACCUCACCCCCCUCGUCGCUUGACCUCCGCUCACCUCCACCUCGGCGAUAUUCCUUCUGCCCUGCCGUGAAGAGCCACCACUGGAUUAGGCGAAGCCCUUACCACCGCCGUGAAGAGCCACCACUGGAGGGGUCGACGUCGCGAAGCCCUUGCCGCCACUCUGCCUUCACUGGCCGAUCUGUCGAAUUGGAUUCAGCCUCCGCCGCUGUCCUCCGCCAUCACACCUCCGCCGUGUCUGCAGGAAAUCAGCUACCCGCCGGUUUGAGCUGGAAGAGGAACUGACGAGAGUGAGGGAGAUGCAAUGGCAUUUCUUCCGAGCAAAUCUCAUGGGAUAUUUUUGAGGAUGUUUUUGGGGCCUAUUAAUGUGAGAGCUAAUAGGAAGGAUGAACUCAUCAAAGUAAAUUACAGUUGAAAGUGAAAGAGGAAGCAUCAAAGUAAUGAACUCAUCAUAUUUUAUUUAUUAUAGUCAAUUCAUAGUUCUGUUUAGAGUUAUCAGAUUGUAUUUCUUCGAAAUAUAAUCAGCUGCAGUAACAGAUUGUAUCUCUGUCGUGAUUAUCUGCCGCAAGUUUAGGGGAAAGAAAAAGGAAAGAAAGCAUUGGAUUUAUCGUGUUUAUACUUCUUCUCAGGUUUGAAAUAUGGCAACUUUUUGGUUUUAUUUUUGGGAUUGUAAGCCGAUUUACUAAAAAUAAGUUUUAUACUUGCUUAGUGUUUUUCUAAUCACUUUAUUCUCCUUAUAGACUGAUUUGCUGCAUUAAGAAUUUCUGUAGAAAACUGUAUACUAGAAAUGUGUGUUAUAACAUGCAUGCCAUAAGAAGUUUGCUUAUCAAUUGGGGAUCCUUUGCAUUCUCAAAAUUACUCAAAUCAAUCACUGAAUUAUUUGCUUCUGAUAAUUCCAUAAUUUUGACUUCAGCUGCUGUUAGUUUUUGUUUCAUAAUCGAUGAAAGCACUAUAAUGAUCUGAUAUUUCACUGAACUUGAGGAGAGUUGGCAUAGAUCAUUUGAUCCUUGCUAGUUCGUAAUUGGAAAAAAGUCAACAUAUUCUUCCUCUUCACGGCCUUCUUUUUGACAUUUUUAACUUGAGGAGAGUAGGCGAUCUGAAUCAUGUUAUCAGCUUUUGUCAUCUUUUCAUGAUGUAUACCUGAUAUACUGUUUUACAAGAAACUCCGAGCAUCAUUUUUUCAUUCUGCUGUCGCAGUGUGCCAAGUCUAUAAACUGUUUCAGAUUAUCUUGUUCUUAUGUAAUCCUGAGAUGUCAAACACCAUUUCUGGCCUAGAUGCAGCUGUCUUGACUCUCCAUGGUCCAUAUGUUUAUGGUCAUAUGCUUAUAUUUCUUUCAUUCUUAUUUAUAUUUUUAGUGCUGACCAUAUUUACAUGUACUCUCAGCUUGCCUCUGUUUUCAUUUUUUUUUUAAUCUUUUGACUCCUUUAAUGCUCAUAACAUUGCACUGGUGUAUUGCAUGUCUGUAAAUUCAAGUCUCUAAGUUUUUGAUGUACCAUCCAAUCCAGAUCUAGAGAUGCAAGAGAAGGAUAUGAAGUUGUCAGUUAGUUCAUACGGAAAGCACUUGAUGAUAUCAAAGGUAUUUACGUAUUUUGUGCUGAUUUUAUGGUUCUGGACGAUACCUGUAGCCACAAUACCUGAUCAACUCGUGCACCCUUUUGGUAGUGCUUCUCAGUUCUCCCCCAUCUCGUCCUGGUUUUGCUGUCUGAGUAAAUGAAUACCUAAUAGUUGCUGCAAGAUUUACCAGUUGAGCCUCCAGCAAUUCAUAAAAUUGCAUAAAGAAGCCUUCAACAUUCGCUCAAGCUGUAAAACUGAGAAGAACGGCUGCUGCAAAGGAGAAGGAACUUGCAAAGUGGAUUAAGCGUUUCGCUAGCUAGCCCUGAUGGUCGCGUAAUAGGUGGUGGCGUUGCAGGUUUGCUCAUGGCAGCUAGUCCGAUCCAGAUUGUAGUCGGAAGCUUCGUGCCAAACGGUUUCAAGAUGCAGAAGCGAAAGCAGCAGAGCAAGCCACUGUGACUGCAGCGACACCAAUAUCACUUUGACUGCCCUCCAGCCACUGCCCUUCAUCAUCAAGAAUGAGCUCCUCCUUGUUUGAUAACUUUGAUCGCAUCUUGGGUUUGAUGUAGAAUGUUUGUAAGAUGGAUAUUUUUUCAAUGUAGAAUGAUAAAGAAUAUUUGAAAUUAAUGAAUGACAUUUUUAUUA